GACAACGAAAAAGAAAAUAUGGAGGGAGUUGAGAGUUGGGAAAUCGAUGCGCUUCCAGAUGUAAGGAACUAGAAGGUCGUUUUCUUUUCCUUUUUCUUUCCCCCCCCCCUUUUUUUUUGGGCUCUCUUCCUGACCGCUAUUUAAAGAUGGAAAAGACAGUCAUAUCUGUCUGACCAUACCAUUUAUGGAGCAGAGGCAAGAUGGAUAAUAGGGAGUGAUAAAAAGCUAAAAGGUAAAACAAAAGAAGGCGCUGAUAGCCGUCGUAGAAAUAAAGAAUAGAAAAUCCCCGAAAGGCGAAAGAGUGUAGUUAUUACUGCGAAUUGUUAUGAUUUCAACGGAGUGUGUACCGGAAGAAGGACCCAGGAACAGGCGCACCACAGGCGCACCAUAAAGGAAUGGUUCCACAGGAGACGAUUCGACGAACCUAACUGGGCGAGAUCGCCCAAAAGAAAAAAAAAAAAAAACCAGCUGAGAACCACGGGAGGACAGCGAGACCGGAGGAAAGCUGGCAACGUGGGAGUCCAGAUGAUGUGGGUGGCACGGCGAGUAACUGGCCCUGUCGACGCUGCUUCAGAGAUCCAACAGCUGGAGGGAGGACAAGAAGCGACAAAGAGAGACCGCGAAGAAAGAUGAGGAA
rnacentral:sRNA from 1 species